AUGUGCACAAACGAGCGGGUGUGCCUCCGCUGCCGACGACCAGGGCACAUCGCCCGGGAGUGCACCAACCCUCGCUCUCGCUCACCGCCGUCGGCCAAUUUGCGGCCAAUCAGUGAGCGGCUCGGCGCCCGUGUCGGGCCUUCACCGUCGCCACCGCGUUUGUUCUCGCCUCCUCAGCAGCGGGCCACGCCGGCGCAUGCUCGCCUGGGACCUGCGGUCCUUGCGGCCGGCAGGGCUCCCUCGGAGCACGGCCGCCCGGUGGCUGGGGCUGGUGAGCAGCAGCGGCGUGGGGCGCCGGCACAUGCUCGCUUGGGCCCUGCAGUGGUCUCCACUGGCAGGGUGCCCUCGGAGCGUGCGCCGGCCGCGGCGCCGGAGGUGGGUGAGACCAGCAGGAGGGCAAGGCCAGGCUCGCCAUCUGCCAGGCCGAGUGUGGAGCGCUGCGUCAUCCCACGUUCAACGGAGGUGGUCGCUGUAGAGGAUGCCCUGCGAUGGACCCUGGUUGCGUUCACCAUGGGCGGCCGGCCAAGGACGUCGUUGAGCGCGGUGACUGCGGCGGUGGAGGCUACUGUCCCGGAGGCCGCAGAUGCUUUCUCGGUUCAUCGUUUCUGGCCUGCUGAUUUCCUCCUGUUGUUUGCUUCAAGAGUGGCGCGAGACGCCGUGGCCAACGCCGGCGAGGUGCAGGGGCGUGGCUUUUCCUUGAGGCUCUCACCUUGGAACAGACAGCUACAAGCCACUCGCCGGCCGUUUCACUACAGAAUUCGCAUCAACAUGGAAGGUGUUCCCCCGCAUGUGUGGAGUCGUUCGACAGCGCAGAUCAUACUUGGCUCUUUGCCUUGGGUUGAGCGUCUGGGCACGCAGACGGCUAACCGGGCGGAUUUGGGCAAUUUCGAGACCUACGCGUGGACAGAUGACCCCUCCCUGGUGCCCAAGGAGAAGCUCAUCCUGGUCGAGGAGCCGGAUGAGGCGAUGGAGGUGGAGCUUGCGGACGGCCUGGUCCUGCCAGCGAACGCGUUAGUGCCACUGGAGAAGGCCAUGCUGGAGUACAAGGUCAUGAUACACUUGGUGCACACGGAGAAUACUGUGCAAAGCUCAGGCCCAUCCUCGGGCGAUGAA
rnacentral:rRNA from 1 species